rnacentral:rRNA from 1 species
AUGGCGCUCUCCAAGCACACCGUCGCCCUGCUCUUUGCCCUGCUGGCCAUCGCCGCGACGCUGCAGCCGUCCGACGCGAGGCUCCGGUCCGCCGCUGCAAACCAAGAAGAAGCCACAGCCACCACCACGGCCGAUGGAGGCUCCCCGUCUCUUCCCAGCCUGCCGUUGCCUCAGAUCCCCGGUAUGCCCAGCCUACCGCCAAUAUUCCGCUCCCUUUUCCCGCCACUGCCCCAGAUCCCCGGCCUGCCUCCCCUCUUUGGUGCACCGCCAUCCCAAGGGUUGCCCCAGAUCCCCGGCAUGCCACACAUCCCACUCCCCACUCCUUCGCCAAGCCCGCCGCCGCCGAAGGAGUGCCUGACGCUGUUGACGGCCAUGAUACCGUGCAUGGACUACCUCACCAACAUCACCGUGUUCUCGCCGCCGGCUGCGUGUUGCGAUGGACUCAAGUCGGUCGUCAGCAGCGCGCCGAUCUGCCUGUGCCACGGCCUGAACAACAAUGGCGACAUGAGCAAGCUGUUCCCAAAGCCCAUCGAUCCCAUCCGCAUGCUCAUCCUUCCGGCUAGGUGCGGCGCCAUGAUACCCUUCCAGACGAUCUUCUCGUGUGGCAGUAAGUUGCACCAACCCCUGCUGUCUUUGCUUGUUUUUUGUUUUGUUAUAUAUAUGCUUCUUUGA